rnacentral:tRNA from 1 species
AGAGAGGUGGCCGAGUGGUCGAAGGCGCACGCCUGGAAAGUGUGUAUACGUUAAAAGCGUAUCGAGGGUUCGAAUCCCUUCCUCUCUGCAA